AGAAAGACUUUUCUCGUAUGAUGGGGGAGAAAUACCUGGUCCUGGACCAUAAAAUCCCCUAGAUGGAUGAUUAGCAGGAAACCGAGCUCCCUGAAGCUGAUUUCCAGUGGUCAGGUCUACUGCUGUGGGACUGUAAGAUGUCUGGUAGCCACUACUGUCACUGCCGCCGCUUCGAAAAUCUGCUGAUGAUGCUUGAACAUUACUUGGACGGUAAGGCGACGGCUUUGGCAUAGUGAAACACCCAGGAUCAACAGAACUAUUGCUGUCAUGUUUUCUAGCUGAGUACGGAUCAUAAAUAUCCAUGCUAGUUGAAUGAAUUCCACCAGAUGUUACCUUUUGCCGCGGUAAAGACUGAAACUGACGUAGACUGUCAUCGUCUGUCGAGUACUGACUACGAAGUGGACGUUGAUACGAAUGAAAACCGUCGUCAGAAGAAAAUGUACGGUAAGCAGACGGGUUAAUGGGGUGUGGGAAUUUAAAACUAUGAGAUGAAGUAGGACUAACAGGACAACUAGCGGCCACUCUAGGAACCCUGUAAUUAGAAAAUUGGAAAAUUUGUUCACUUACUGACGAUGUGUGAUAAAAUGGACGAGGUCGACUGUUCAUUGCUAAAUCCAUGGUGCAUAUCCACAGUGGAGAUCGGUCAGCGGUAAACUGAGAGUCAAUUAGUCGUUUUGUAAGUGUUAGCCUACAUAUGUUUGCUAUCACUUAACUAUUUAGAGCAACACGUGUUUUCAAUAAGCAUUGUCUGUGCUUGCUUGAUUUGUGUUUUACACGCAUGAAUGGAUGGAAAUAAGAACAAAAGUAUUUCUGAAAUUCUAUCUACCACAACCAAGUGCGGUUUAUCUAUCAGAACGUGUUUAAAACUGUUUUUGUUUAUUAUACAUGUUGUAACAUUAAUUACUUGCCUAAAGAUCUGGAUUUUAUUUAAAAACAUUAACAAACCAAACAUAUGAAAUAUUCAUUUGGCUCUCUGAAAAAAUGUUUUUUGUAGGGAAUAUAUAAUGAUAUUUGAAUAAUCAAAAAUUAUAUAUUAUGAAGAAGAAAACCGCCGUUAAUCUCGCAACACGUGCCGUACGUAACCUUCCAGAUAAUAGUUACUGCUGGAUGUCAUUAAGAACAUUUGUUACUAAUUGAAAAAGUGGUUUAUUCAGUAGAAUAAUGUACAUGAAGGUUUGUGUUUCUGUGAAUCAAACUGCGAUGCACAUAAUGCAUUUCUACAUAGAUUUGGUAUAUUCUAUAUUCAGAGAUUUGGCAUGUUUUAUAUUUAUCAUGAUUCUUUAUUUAAGAAUUUAAUUGAAAAUAUGUUUGGUGAUCGCAACUUAUCUUAAAACUUUAUAGUGGAAUUAUAUAUACUGUGAUUUCAUUCAUAUUCAAGGGUAUCAAAUUUCGUGUAUAAAGUGAAAAUCACAGUUUCAAGGAUAUGUAAAUUCGAGGCCAAUGACCCCAUCAAUACAAAAUGUUAAUAUAAAUUGCAUUUCAAUGAACAUUUAAUUUCAUGGAUCAACUUAAAAACGAAAUCCACGAAAAUUGGUAUUCAACAAAUAUUGAUGAAACCACAGUAUAUAUAUUUUUUUCAUUUUGGUAUCUUGUUUCUACGAAACAAACUAGAUUUAUAUACAUGUAUGUAGCUUCAAAAUAUUGCAUUUUUUUAUUGCAAACAAGAUAACUUCUUGCAUAUAUGAGACAUUUUAGACCUACUUUUUAAUAGUUAGUUGAAGCGUGUUGCCGGCAUUCUUGAUGUGAUCUUGACCCUCAGAAUGGUAGGCAUUUGUUACGUUAUGGUUCCCAAUUUUGAGGAUAAGAUCCCCAGAUGACAACGACCCGUCUGCCACACUUCCGGGUACCACCUGCAUUAAAGAAUUCUGAUGAUAAUUUCGUAAAUUAAAAAUACCGGACCUACAACAAUGCUUGUUGUUUCGUAAAACAUCUACUACAGGUACAAUUAGAAUACCAAGCGCAUUCUGUCGUUUAAUUCCUUGAUUAUACAUAUCUUCUUGUGUUGUCACUUCUAAUCAGCAAGAUUUAGAUUAGAUUAGAAAGGUAAUGGUAAACAAACAUGUAACACCACUACUGGUCUGGUAUUUUUUUCAUAAGAAAAAAACAUAUGCUGUUAAUGUAAAAAAAAAUGAAUUACAAAAUCUCAUUGCCUGAAUUCAAAUAAAAUUGCAGUUGUUUU
rnacentral:sRNA from 1 species